AUUGAACGCUGGCGGCAUGCUUUACACAUGCAAGUCGAACGGCAGCGCGGGGCAACCUGGCGGCGAGUGGCGAACGGGGGAGUAAUACAUCGGAACGUACCCAGAAGUGGGGGAUAACGUAGCGAAAGUUACGCUAAUACCGCAUACGUUCUACGGAAGAAAGUGGGGGACCUUCGGGCCUCAUGCUUUUGGAGCGGCCGAUGUCUGAUUAGCUAGUUGGUGAGGUAAAGGCUCACCAAGGCGACGAUCAGUAGCUGGUCUGAGAGGACGACCAGCCACACUGGGACUGAGACACGGCCCAGACUCCUACGGGAGGCCGCAGUGGGGAAUUUUGGACAAUGGGCGCAAGCCUGAUCCAGCAAUGCCGCGUGAGUGAAGAAGGCCUUCGGGUUGUAGAGCUCUUUUGUCAGGGAAGAAACGGCUGAGGAUAAUACCUUCGGCUAAUGACGGUACCUGAAGAAUAAGCACCGGCUAACUACGUG
rnacentral:rRNA from 1 species